CCUACGGGAGGCAGCAGUGGGGAAUAUUGCGCAAUGGGCGACAGCCUGACGCAGCGACGCCGCGUGAGGGAUGAAGGUCUUCGGAGCGUAAACCUCUGUCAGCAGGGAAGAACGGUCACUGGGCUAAUCAGCAGUGAAUUGACGGUACCUGCAAAGGAAGCACCGGCUACCUCCGUGCCAGCAGCCGCGGUAAUACGGCGGGUGCGAGCGUUACUCGUAAUUACUGGGCGUAACGCGUUCGUAGGCGGUAUGUCAAGUCAAGGGUGAAAUCCCCGCGCUCAACUUGGGAACUGCCUUUGAAACUGGCAGACUGGUGUGUGUGAGAGGCUAGUGGAAUUCCAGUUGU
rnacentral:rRNA from 1 species